AAUGCCGGAUGCUCCGACUCCUCGCAUGGGGUGUCGGGAAAGAUUUCAUUGGUAUGGGAUGGGGUCGCGUCCUAUCAGGUAGUCGGCGGGGUAACGGCCCACCGAGCCUACGACGGGUAGCCGGCCUGAGAGGGCGACCGGCCACAUUGGGACUGAGAUACGGCCCAGACUCCUACGGGAGGCAGCAGUGGGGAAUAUUGCACAAUGGGCGCAAGCCUGAUGCAGCGACGCCGCGUGCGGGAUGACGGCCUUCGGGUUGUAAACCGCUUUUGAUCGGGAGCAAGCCUUCGGGUGAGUGUACCUUUCGAAUAAGCACCGGCUAACUACGUGCCAGCAGCCGCGGUAAUACGUAGGGUGCAAGCGUUAUCCGGAAUUAUUGGGCGUAAAGGGCUCGUAGGCGGUUCGUCGCGUCCGGUGUGAAAGUCCAUCGCUUAACGGUGGAUCUGCGCCGGGUACGGGCGGGCUGGAGUGCGGUAGGGGAGACUGGAAUUCCCGGUGUAACGGUGGAAUGUGUA
rnacentral:rRNA from 1 species